UGGUGGAGCGAUUUGUCUGGUUGAUUCCGUUAACGAGCGAGACCUUAACCUGCUAAAUAGUUACGCGAACCGUCUGCUUGCGUGAACCUGUGCGUGCGAGAAGCUUUAACCGGCGUCUUCACAACCGGAGGAUCGUUGAUGCGUUCGUGGGGAUACUUCUUAGAGGGACUAUUCGUAUCUAGCGAAUGGAGGUUUGAGGCAAUAACA
rnacentral:rRNA from 1 species